UUUAUUGUCAGGAUAAAAUCGAAUUAACAAAAUACUAAACGCAGCCCUCAUGGAAGAGAUAAGUGAUGUGAACAAUGAAUAACUAUUGCUAGGAAAGGUCAAUAGGAGAGAUACAGAGACACCAAGAUGCUAUGGAGUUAUGACCUAUAAGGACACGUGUUCAUCUGAAUGAGGAAAGAAGAUGCAUGUUGGAGGUACGCGAUUGUAUGGAAUAAGAAUUCAAUGUAACAUUUUGGUUUUAAGCCCCAAAAUAUACUGAUAAUACAAUUGAUCAUAUGAAAAGUAUGCAAAUCCAAGUAUAAAAAUAGCUGCUUUAAGCAGACAAGGCAAAAUCUUGUUUCUAUGGAAGUGGAGAUCUACUGAUAACUGGCUUAAUUGUGCAAUCCUUCCUUAAGAAUCCUAUUGCCUCUCUCUUCCUCUCUCCGUCCUUCUCUCUUUGUGAAUGUGUGUGUAUGUCUAUGGUGAAUAUGCGUGUAUGUCUAUGGUGAAUAUGCAGUGUCUUGUGUACAUUGGAGUUCCUAAUGUUUUACUUGAUUACUAAGUGAUGCACAAUUUUCUGAGCAAGUUGUCUUCUAAGAGUUCGCUUCUAUCUGUGAAAUCUAGUAACUAACAUCAAUGUAUUAACUCUCAAGUGGAGUUAAAAAAUCAUUAAACUGCAAUAUCCAGUUUUACUGCUUUUGUUGAUGCAUUCUUUCAAAAAUGAAUGUCAAUGCAUCUUUUGUGGGGGAAAAAUUUAGUAGUAAUUGCCAUGAGAAUAUGGUGUUGCUUAAUGGGAAUUGUGACUAGGAGACAAAAUCAAAUAUAAACAGAACAAAGGAACAUUUGAGGCUUCAUAGAUUUGUUGCUUCGAGUAGAAAGAAAUGCUGAGGACUCCUUGCUUUGUCCAAGUUAAUGCAGACAUGAAAAUUCUGAGAUUUUAUCAUUUUGUUUUAUGAUUUUUGGAGAAGCGUAUGUUUGAUUAACUGACUGACUGACUGUGGAUGCCAUGUCCUGCUUGUAUCUGUAAUGAAUUAAUAGCAUGUUUGGUUGCAGGUAUUGUAUAGCACUUGACGGUAUUAAGAAAGCUGAAAUGUAAAAAAAGUUGAAGUUUCGUUUAUCACAUUGUCCAAUCAUAUCCAAGACUGCACAGCUAACAUGCCUUAAAAGUAUAAAUUUAACACCUUUCUAUUGCACCUAUUUUGUUGUACUAUUCUAGCACAACAAAGAAAAAUUGUAAAAUUUCAGAAGUUUCAUAAGGGCAAAUGAGGUAGCAAUUAAUAAUAAUUGGAAUUCCAUUUCUUGGUAUCUUUUAUAUUCUAAUUAAAACAUCAAUCUCACUUUUCUUUAUACCGUUGCUGGAUGAAUUAAGAUGAUGGUAUAUCCCCCGUCUGCAGGUAAUUAUAGAAGCUUCAUUAAACUAGUGUGGCAGCUUUGUUAUGUAACUAUGGCACGACCACAUCCACUACUGGUUUUCCAGUUUUCGGGGACAAGAUGACAGAGCAGAAAUCAUUUUUGCUUGUUUCUGCUUCAUUCUCACGACCUUCCAGUCAUAUUAAUCUAUGAAAGCAUAGUCAGAGAUUGCUUUUACUAUUUCAUUUGUAUUUUUUUAUAAUUAUUCCUUUGUUUUUGGUCGAGGAAUUUCUCAUUAACAGUGGUUUGUCUGCCAGUUUAUUGAUUUAUAUUUGGUUUUGGAUGUCAGUUUUAUCUCUAUUGCUAUCAAAGGUCUCAUCAGUUAUUUUUUGACAAACAAACUUGUAUUAAAUCGACUGAUAUUUAGAUGUUUUACAUUGUAACUGAGCUUAUUUCCGUUUUGCAACAACUUGAGAAUUACUUAUUUCUUUUAAGCUGCUUAUCUAUG
rnacentral:lncRNA from 1 species